CAGUCGAACGGACUCAUAUUGAAACCUAGUGAUUUAUGAGUUAGUGGCGGACGGGUGAGUAACGCGUGGAUAACCUACCGUAUACCGGGGGAUAACACUUAGAAAUAGGUGCUAAUACCGCAUAAGCGCACGGCUCCGCAUGGGGCAGUGUGAAAAACUCCGGUGGUAUACGAUGGAUCCGCGUCUGAUUAGCUAGUUGGCGGGGUAACGGCCCACCAAGGCAGCGAUCAGUAGCCGGCCUGAGAGGGUGGACGGCCACAUUGGGACUGAGACACGGCCCAAACUCCUACGGGAGGCAGCAGUGGGGAAUAUUGCACAAUGGGGGAAACCCUGAUGCAGCGACGCCGCGUGAGUGAAGAAGUAUCUCGGUACGUAAAGCUCUAUCAGCAGGGAAGAAAAUGACGGUACCUGACUAAGAAGCCCCGGCUAACUACGUGCCAGCAGCCGCGGUAAUACGUAGGGGGCAAGCGUUAUCCGGAUUUACUGGGUGUAAAGGGAGCGUAGACGGCAGCACAAGUCUGGAGUGAAAUCCCGGGGCUUAACCCCGGAACUGCUUUGGAAACUGUGCGGCUGGAGUGCAGGAGGGGUAAGCGGAAUUCCUAGUGUAGAGGUGAAAUGCGUAGAUAUUAGGAGGAACACCGGUGGCGAAGGCGGCUUACUGGACUGUAACUGACGUUGAGGCUCGAAAGCGUGGGGAGCAAACAGGAUUAGAUACCCUGGUAGUCCACGCCGUAAACGAUGAUUACUAGGUGUCGGGGGAUCAAGGUCCUCCGGUGCCGGCGCAAACGCAUUAAGUAAUCCACCUGGGGAGUACGUUCGCAAGAAUGA
rnacentral:rRNA from 1 species